UAGGGAAUAUUGCACAAUGGGGGAAACCCUGAUGCAGCGACGCCGCGUGAGCGAAGAAGUAUCUCGGUAUGUAAAGCUCUAUCAGCAGGGAAGAAGAUGACGGUACCUGACUAAGAAGCACCGGCUAAAUACGUGCCAGCAGCCGCGGUAAUACGUAUGGUGCAAGCGUUAUCCGGAUUUACUGGGUGUAAAGGGAGCGUAGACGGAAGAGCAAGUCUGGAGUGAAAGCCCGGGGCUCAACCCCGGGACUGCUUUGGAAACUGUUUAUCUAGAGUGCCGGAGAGGCAAGCGGAAUUCCUAGUGUAGCGGUGAAAUGCGUAGAUAUUAGGAGGAACACCAGUGGCGAAGGCGGCUUGCUGGACGGUAACUGACGUUGAGGCUCGAAAGCGUGGGGAGCAAACAGG
rnacentral:rRNA from 1 species